AUUGAACGCUGGCGGCAUGCUUUACACAUGCAAGUCGAACGGUAACAGGCCGCAAGGUGCUGACGAGUGGCGAACGGGUGAGUAGUGCAUCGGAACGUGCCCAGUCGUGGGGGAUAACGCAGCGAAAGCUGUGCUAAUACCGCAUACGAUCUAUGGAUGAAAGCGGGGGACCGUAAGGCCUCGCGCGAUUGGAGCGGCCGAUGUCAGAUUAGCGAGUUGGUGGGGUAAAGGCCCACCAAGGCGACGAUCUGUAGCUGGUCUGAGAGGACGAGCAGCCACCCUGGGACGGAGAGACGGCCCAGACUCCUACGGGAGGCAGCAGUGGGGAAUUUUGGAAAAUGGGCGCAAGCCUGAUCCAGCAAUGCCGCGUGCAGGAAGAAGGCAUUCGGGUUGUAAACUGCUUUUGUCCGGAACGAAACGGUCUGGGUUAAUACCCUGGGAUAAUGACGGUACCGUAAGAAUAAGCACCGGCUAACUACGUGCCAGCCGCCGCCGUAA
rnacentral:rRNA from 1 species